rnacentral:rRNA from 1 species
GACAGUUCGGUCCCUAUCCGUCGUGGGCGUAGGAAAUUUGAGAGGAGCUGUCCUUAGUACGAGAGGACCGGGAUGGACAURCCUCUGGUGUACCAGUUGUCGUGCCAACGGCAUAGCUGGGUAGCUAUGUGUGGACGGGAUAAGUGCUGAAAGCAUCUAAGCAUGAAGCCCCCCUCAAGAUGAGAUUUCCCAACUUCGGUUAUAAGAUCCCUCAAAGAUGAUGAGGUUAAUAGGUUCGAGGUGGAAGCAUGGUGACAUGUGGAGCUGACGAAUACUAAUCGAUCGAAGACUUAAUCAAAA